rnacentral:rRNA from 1 species
AUACGGAGGAUGCGAGCGUUAUCCGGAUUUAUUGGGUUUAAAGGGUGCGUAGGCGGUCGGGUAAGCGUAGGGUGAAAGUCCUCUGCUCAACAGAGGAAGUGCCUUCCGAACUGUCCGACUGGAAUGCUCCUGCCGUGGGCGGAAUGUGUGGUGUAGCGGUGAAAUGCAUAGAGAUCACACAGAACACCGAUUGCGAAGGCAUCUCACGAAGGGGCUAUUGACGCUGAGGCACGAAAGCGUGGGGAUCAAACAGGAUUAGAUACCCUGGUAGUCCACGCAGUAAACGAUGAUGACUAACCGUCGGUCAAGACUGAUCGGUGGCCAAGCGAAAGCGAUAAGUCAUCCACCUGGGGAGUACGACCGCAAGGUUGAAACUCAAAGGAAUUGACGGGG